rnacentral:rRNA from 1 species
GGUGGGGGGCGGACUACCAUGCAGUCGAACGGUAACAGGAAGAAGCUUGCUUCUUUGCUGACGAGUGGCGGACGGGUGAGUAAUGUCUGGGAAACUGCCUGAUGGAGGGGGAUAACUACUGGAAACGGUAGCUAAUACCGCAUAACGUCGCAAGACCAAAGAGGGGGACCUUCGGGCCUCUUGCCAUCGGAUGUGCCCAGAUGGGAUUAGCUAGUAGGUGGGGUAACGGCUCACCUAGGCGACGAUCCCUAGCUGGUCUGAGAGGAUGACCAGCCACACUGGAACUGAGACACGGUCCAGACUCCUACGGGAGGCAGCAGUGGGGAAUAUUGCACAAUGGGCGCAAGCCUGAUGCAGCCAUGCCGCGUGUAUGAAGAAGGCCUUCGGGUUGUAAAGUACUUUCAGCGGGGAGGAAGGGAGUAAAGUUAAUACCUUUGCUCAUUGACGUUACCCGCAGAAGAAGCACCGGCUAACUCCGUGCCAGCAGCCGCGGUAAUACGGAGGGUGCAAGCGUUAAUCGGAAUUACUGGGCGUAAAGCGCACGCAGGCGGUUUGUUAAGUCAGAUGUGAAAUCCCCGGGCUCAACCUGGGAACUGCAUC